GCCGUUCAGCUCAGGUGAACGCUGGCGGGAUACUACGCUGCAGUCGAACGGCAGCACGGACUUCGGUCUGGUGGCGAGUGGCGAACGAGUGAGUAAUGUAUCGAAACGUGCCUAGUAGCGGGGGAUAACUGCGCGAGAAGCGUAGCUAAUACGCGCUACGCCCUUCGGGGGAAAGCGGGGACCUUCGGGCCUCUCGCUGGCCGAGAACGGCCGAUAUGGAUUAGCUGGUCGGUGGGGUAACGGCUCACCGGCGGCGAUCCGUAGCUGGUUUGAGAGGACGACCAGCCACUGCAGGACGGAACUGUGAACUCUGGAGAGCAGCGGUGAAAUUUUGGUUUCAGCCGAAACUGAUCCAGCCAUCCCGCGGUGAUGACGCGAUGAAGGCCCCUUCGGGUUGCCGAGACACUUUUGGCGGGAAAGAAACGGCACGGAUGUUCGGCCUACGCGGCAACUGUGCCUGCUGCAAAGAUAAACGCAAGCCUUCGUGCCAGCAACCGCGGUAAUGCGUAGGGUGCAGAAGCGUUAAUCGGAAUUACUGGGCGUAAAGCGUGCGCAGCGGUUCGGAAAGAUGUAAUCAGAGCUUAACUUUGGAACUGCAUUUUAACUACCGAGCUGAAGGUAAUCAGAGGGUGCGGAAUUCCGCGUGUAGCAGUGAAAUGCAUGAAUGUGCGGAGGAACAUCGAUGGCGAAGGCGUUCUGCAUUAACACUGGCAACUCUUUGGCGAUGAGGGCAAGCGGAUUAGAUGCCUGGUAGUCCACGCUAAUAAUCAGCUAGCUGUUUGGGGCCUUCGGGCAGCAGUAGCUGUACGCGUGAAGUUGACCACUUGCAAGUACGGUCGCAAGAUUAAAAUCAAAGGAAUUGACGGGGACACACUUUAAACGCGGUGGAUGAUGUGGAUUAAUUCGAUGCAACGAAAACUAUACUACCGCCAAUGUCUGGAAUCCCGAAAGAGAUUUGGGAGUGCUCGCAAGAGAACCGGAACACAGGUGCUGCAUGGCUGUCGUCAUCGUGUCGUGAGAUGUUGGGUUAAGUCCCGCAACGAGCGCAACCCUUGUCAUUAGUUUGCCCGAAGGGCGCUCUAAUGAGACUGCCGGUGACAAACGGAGGAAGGUGAGGAUGACGUCAGGCCUCAUGGCCCCUUAUGGGUAGGGCUUCACACGUCAUACAAUGGUGGGACGAGGUCAUAUUCGCGAAGAGCCAAUCCCGGCUUGAUCGUAGUCCGGAUGCAGUCUGCAACCUCGACUGCGUGAAGUCGAAUCGCUAAUCGCGGAUCAGCAUGUCGCGGUGAAUACGUUCCCGGGUCUUUUACCGUCACACCAUAGGAGUGGGUUUACCGAAGUAGUUAGCUAACCGUAAGGAGGGCGAUUACCACGGUAGAGGAUUGUGACUGAAUUGAAGUCGUAACAAGGUA
rnacentral:rRNA from 1 species